UUAAAAUGAAGGGUGGGGAUGCAGGCAUAAAAAUUCGAAGUGUGCUAGAUUCACUCAGCCAGCAAGUUGAAGAUCAGCGAGAUGCUGUGAUUCUCUGCCUGCUUUCCUACCUGGGAGAAUCAUCUGAGGAGCUCAUUGAAUCCUACCAGGAUGUCAGCAGAGACAUGAUUAAAGAUCUUUAAAGAAGAUUAAAGCUUCACCAAUCAUGUAAUGAAGAUCAUUGUACUGGGCAGCACUGCAGGAGAGAAAGAUGCCAACAUAGCUGACGUCAUCAUCGUCAUUGAGGGAACUGAGGUGCUGUUGGGAUGUAAGAAUCUCACAAAUGCGAUCCUUCUGCUCAUGGGCUUCAUUUACUCCCUGAACUUAAGCUAUCCCCCAAAGCUGAGAAACACUUCUGAAGUCUUUCAGAAAACCUUUCUUGGGCUGGAUGCUUUAAAAUUUUCUCCAAAAGUUAGCUCUUUGCAUAGAAAGCUACAAAAGUAGUUACUUUUUGUAUUUGUUCAUUUGCUUAGCAAGUGAGAAUGUUCUUAAAAAGCUUGUUAAUGUAACUUAGAGCAAAGUUUGUACUAUACUGUGCUGUUUAACAGAAACAUUGUAAUGCAGUGUUAUGUAAGUAAUGCAGUGCUGCUAAAGAAAACAGAACCAGAGGUUUAUUUGUUUUAUCACAGUGUUGUAUGUGCUCUGUUUUUAUACAAAAAUACAAUGAAGCAUCUGUGAAAGGAUAAAGAUGUUGAACCAUUUUGGCCAAGAGCAUUUAAUCUCAAUUCAUGUUUGUCCAUGUGUUUUAGC